AGUGAACGCUGGCGGCAGGCCUAAUACAUGCAAGUCGAACGGCAGCACAGCAGAGCUUGCUCUGUGGGUGGCGAGUGGCGGACGGGUGAGGAAUACAUGGGAAUCUGCCCAGUCGUGGGGGAUAACGUAGGGAAACUUACGCUAAUACCGCAUGCGCCCUUCGGGGGAAAGCCGGGGACCUUCGGGCCUGGCGCGAUUGGAUGAGCCCAUGUCGGAUUAGCUAGUUGGCGGGGUAAUGGCCCACCAAGGCGACGAUCCGUAGCUGGUCUGAGAGGAUGAUCAGCCACACUGGAGCUGAGACACGGUCCAGACUCCUACGGGAGGCAGCAGUAGGGAAUAUUGGACAAUGGGCGCAAGCCUGAUCCAGCCAUGCCGCGUGAGUGAAGAAGGCCCUCGGGUUGUAAAGCUCUUUUGUCCGGAAAGAAAAGCAUCCAGUUAAUACCUGGGUGUCCUGACGGUACCGGAAGAAUAAGUACCGGCUAACUUCGUGCCAGCCGCCGCCGUAAAAC
rnacentral:rRNA from 1 species